ACUCAAAUGAAUAGACGGGGACUCGCACAAGCAGUGGAUCAUGUGGCUUAAUUCGUCGGUAAGCGAAGAACCUUACCAGGGCUAGAAACCCAACUGCAUCUCCGCAGAAACGUGGAGAGCCUUCGAGGGUGUUGGGCAGGUGAUGCAUGGUUGUCGUCAGUUCGUGGCUUGAGCUGUUCCCUUCAGUGGGGUAACGAACGCAACCCUCGUUGUCUGUUAUAUAUUUCAGGCGAGACUGCCCCCUCACGGGGGAGGAAGGUGAGGAUGACGCCAAAUCAGCAUGUCCCUUGAUGCCCUGGGCCGCACACGUGAUACAAUGGUUCAUACAGAAGGACGCAAGACCGCAAGGUGGAGCAAAUCCCCAAAAUGAACCUCAGUACGGAUAGUGGUCUGCAACCGACCACUUGAAGCCGGAAUUGCUAGUAAUCGUGGGUCAGCCAUACCACGGUGAAUACGUUCUCGAGUCUUGUACACACCGCCCGU
rnacentral:rRNA from 1 species